AAGAGUCAUCCAGGUGAUAAGGGUCAUCUCUAUGAAUAGCUUUCUUCCUGGAACUGACUGGACUUCACAACCAAUUUUGGGCUAGUGUGGAGAGAUCAGCUGUGAGAAACAUCCAUUGAUUUGCUCAGGCUGCCCUUUGUAUCUUAAUGCUUCAGGUUUUGUUAUCCUGCGCCUUUCUUCUGUCUUCUUUCCUCAUAAGUUUUUUAGAUACAAUUUUAUUGCCAAUAAUUAAAGAGUGAGAAUGAGCGGCAAUGGGCUGGUAUGGUUGCAUUCAAACUCCAAAGUUCACAUUUUGGAAUAUUGAUUUUUGCUUGAGAACAACUUACCUAAAAACCAUGGGAAUUUGGCAGGGAGGGAUGUGAUGGGGCAUAUGUUGAGUUCUUUCAAGGAAUUUAACUUUCAUUUCUGAAGAAGUAAAAACUGUGGCAUGGUGUUCUCUUUCUUUUGUCUUCCUUCCCCCAAAGUUAAAGAGUUUGCAGUUGUUUGAGAGCCCUUCCAAUUGCAUUCUUUCACAGCCGUCUCCUUUCAUCCCCAUCUCAAACUCAGUGUUUUGGGGGGAUUCAGGCAUCAGUCUACAGUUAGAACAAAACAACUAACAUAGCUAGAAAUCAUCUUGAAAAGCUAAAAAUAGUGUAGGAAAGAAUAAAUCUUUUCUCACCCAUAGCUAGGUUCAUAAAUGAGGUCCCUAUAACAAAACACAGAUUGACAAGAGAGAAGCAUACAAAUUUACUUAAUAUAAGUUUUAUGUGACACAGGAGCUUUCAGAAAUGAAGACCCAAAGAAACAGGGAUAUGUGUGUAUUUUUAUGCUUAGGGUUGAUGAAGAGCAGACAGUUCUGCAGAAGUAUGAUUGGACAAAAGGUUAUGAUAACUGCAGGAAACUUAGGAAGUCCUGUUUGUUCAGGUUCUUCUUUGUAUCCUUGUGUCUUCAGAGAUAAGGACAUUCCUUUCUUCCAGGUUUGGGUGAGUGCCUCUGGAAUGAAGGUCUUAUAACCCGCUUCACGGAGGAAAGUUGAGGGGAAGGUAAAGUGACCUUCCUGCUUCUGAGAUUUUCUGAAGGUACCAUAUGUUGGGGUGGUGUUUCCCGAACCCCAUCGAAAGGAAGGUAGGUCAAAGCAAUUUUGGAGUAAAC
rnacentral:lncRNA from 1 species